GCCCAUGUCACUUUCUCCUCCUCCAAUUUCAGCCUUCCAUUUUGUGGGCAUCCCCAAUGCUGAGGCGAGAUUUCGAUUAAUCACCGUAGAAUAUGCCAUGUGGCUACCUUGUCUCACCGUCCGCGAACUUAUCAAAUUCCAUCCCAUACUCCAACCUAUAUAUAUCCUCUAACCCUUCUACGGACAAUUCUCUCCCUUUUCUCUCUCUGGAAAAAUAUUCGUUCUGUGUUUAGAUUAUAUAUCGUAACGGUGGUAUAAAUUCAGAAAACCCUAUUUUCUUGAAUCCCAUUUCUUGAAUUACUCAAAUGUUGCUCUUAUUGUGCUUCAUUUGAAUGGUUAUGAGAGUUUUAUUGAUAGGAAGAGAGUGUUUCUUUGUUGAAGAAAUUCAAGAUUCAAUUUUUAAUGGAGGAACCAAUAGGAAGAAGGUUUCGAAUAGGCUACGCUUUGGCUCCCAAGAAACAAGCCAGCUUCGUUCAGGUUUCUCUCAUAAAUCUUGCUAAAGAGAGAGGCAUCGAUCUUAUCAAGAUCGACCUCGAAAAGCCCUUAAUCGAUCAGGGUCCUUUUGAUUGCAUUCUUCACAAAAUUUACAGUCCCAGUUGGAAACAACAGUUAUCUGACUAUGCGAUAAAGAAUCCUAAUGUCCCUAUAAUUGAUUCUCCCAAUGCCAUUGAGAGGCUGCACAAUAGAAUUUCCAUGCUUGAGGUGGUUACCGAGAUUAAUGUUGAGUACAAGACACUGUUAUUUGGGAUUCCAAAGCAGAUUGUAAUUUAUGAUGCGAAAGCUGUCGAGGAAUUGAAUCUUGAGGCUGAGGGCUUGAAGUUUCCAGUGAUAGCGAAGCCGUUGGUGGCAGAUGGGAGUGCAAAGUCGCACAAGAUGUCCUUGGUUUUUAACAAGGAUGGGUUGAGUAAGCUGAAGCCGCCGGUUGUCUUGCAGGAGUUUGUGAACCAUGGGGGUGUGAUCUUUAAGGUGUAUGUAGUGGGAGACUAUGUCAAGUGUGUGAAGAGAAAGUCUCUACCAGAUGUGAACGAGGAGAAUUUGGGAAAUUCUGAGGCGUCACUGUCCUUUUCACAAGUCUCGAAUUUGAAUAGUGUGGAGAGGGCUGAUGACAAGUAUUAUAGAAUGAUGGACUUGGAAGAUGAAAAGACAGAGUUUCCUGCAAUGAGCUUCUUGGUUAAUAUAGCUAGUGGGUUGAGGGGUGCAAUGGGUUUGCGUUUGUUUAACUUUGACUUGAUUAGGGAUGUGCGGAUUGGGAAUAGGUACCUUGUGAUCGACAUUAACUAUUUUCCUGGAUAUGCAAAGAUGCCCUGCUAUGAGCGUGUUCUGACAGAUUUUUUCUGGGAUAUUUUGAACAAUAAUUAUGAUAAUAAGAUGGUCCUGAAUCUGGAAAGUUUAAAUAUGGGUACUUGCCAGAUGGAAGUUAGAAAGUUGGUUAGUAAUAGUGAACGUGACAAGGAUGAUGGAGUAACAAAUCUUCCCGUUUCUCCAAUAAAGCGGGAAGAAAAGGAGAGUUCCAUUCAAGUAUGAGAGAAUGCUUAUUAAAGUAAUAGUGUCAUGUGGUUAGUGGAGGGCUUGUCGGCAAACAUGGGUCAAUGGAAUUUGCUUUCUGCUGGUUGAUGGCCUUGAAGCAAGCCAUGUUGCACUUCCUUUAGAUGGUAGAAUUAGUACAGUGGUUAAUUAUUAGGUUUCUUCACUUUGAUUCUGAUGCAAUCGGCAUUAAUGGAGUGCUCUGUGUUAAUCAUGUACAUUCGAGUUGUUGGGUUGAGGAUAGUAUCAAUGGGGACAAUAGGUUUUGGUCUUUCUGUGUUAGAAGUGGCAUGCAAGUGAUCUACUCUGAUUUUGAUACGAUAUGCUGUUUUUGCUUCCUUCCAAAUGGGAAUUUGUAUCCUAGGUCUAUGGAGAAUUCAGGACUCUUGUACAUUAAAAUACACCAUAGUUUUCUUCCUUAAGAAGUUAAUUUUGUAAAAGACAAUUUAUGUUAAGGCACAUCUA